GCCCCGCUUUGCCCUCUCUGCUUUGGCCACAUUGUUAAGUCUUUUUGCUCUGGGGGAAAAGAGAACCAGAAUCAGGUUUGGGGAGAUCAGAGUGGACGCUUCUCUGUGGCUUGGCUUGGGAUUACUUGAGACAUUGAAUAAACUGCCUUUAGCCUCACGGCUGUGGUUUCCCCAUCUUUGGAAAGCAUUCCAGGUACCCCCUUACUGAUUUAUUAGUAUUUUAAGUCCACAAGGAGAGAAAGAUGCUUUGAAACUACAGAAUGCAGUGUUUUCCACUCAGACCCUCAGAUCCCUGCCUGAGCGAGCAGGGUGCUGCCUUUGCAGGAUGCUGUUCUGGCUGAGGGUGGGGUAUGCUUAUCUAUGGAGACUUCUUGAACUCCAAGCUGACCCCAGUGCCAGAGCUGAGCUGGAUAAAAAGCUUCACAGGUAAAAAAGCAUUGAAGGCAGCUCACCAGCAAAGCAGUAAAACAGAGCGCCCAAAAGUAUCCUUACAGGUAAGCGGACCCUAGGCAGAACCAGCGCAAACCACUCACCACAGCUUCCAGUUUAUCUUGUUAAUUAGGAAGCACGUGAAAGAGGCUUUUUAGGGACCUAGAGAAACAUUUAAUUCCUGCCUGGGUAUAACUAACUGGUCAAAAGCAAAAAUAUCUGUCCCUAUCAUUUCAAGCAUUUGAGUAUAGAUUUGGUACUAAAAUACCCAGUAGCAAAAAUUCCAAGAAAUUGACUAAACCUGUCUGUGUUAUGGCCACAUGCUUGGGAAGAAAUCAAGAGCCCACGGAAUAAAACCUUUGUUUCUGAGACCCUCACUCUUCAGCCAGGCCUGUCUCAAAUGCACGGUCCUCUUGCCUCGGCCUCUCCAGUGCCUGCAUUACAGAUGUGUUAACCCCCCACUACAUCCAACCCCGUGGGUUGGUUACGUAGUGAGGAGUUGAAACCUCCUGUGCCAGGAUUCCAGUCCUGUGACCUCCCAUCCCCCCAGUGUCUAAAGUGCCUUCUGUAGAUGUAGAGCGCAUACUCAUUUGGUUGGCUGAAGGGCAGACCUACAGGAAGGAAGGGUCAAUCACUCAGGCGUUUUAUGAAAGCCGUGGGUGCUCCACAGACGGAUGUGCCAUGAUACUGUACAAUGAUGAUUGUAUUUGCCACCACUGGAAGGCUGGAGGAAGGUCGUCCCCUCAGAGGUCAUCUUCUCAGAUGAGGAGAGCAACCCCACAGAGGAGAAGAAAACAAUGUAAGAAUACAAGAGUUCCAGAAUGCCACAUAACCUAGAUUCUCGGGAACAAAUCCUUGGUGGACCCCUCUCUGUGAUUGAUUGGGCUGACCUGUGUAGCACCUUGCCGUAAGCCAGGCUGCAGACCACAGAGAGCAUAGAUGGCACAGCCAGUCCAACCGAGCGCACCAACCACUCUCCCUGUUCCGAUAUCUCUACACAUCACUGAUAUUUUUUAAAAAAUCACUUUUUGUAAUGAACUCGCCAGUAAACACAUUACACAGCUAGAUUAGGGCAGUCAUUCGAAUAAACGCUUGCCCAGUCCUAAACACUAUAGAUUUCAAUAAACUCCGUACAGUCCGAAUAGCCCUGGUGAAUAGCCACCAACUAAUCUUUCAAUGGGUAAUUGCUUUCCACUCCAGGAUUGAAAUUAACGGUAAGAAUAAGUCAACUGAUGGACCGUUAGAAAAGGUCAGAUGUCAUCUGAGUCUCUGUCCUGAUGCCUGCCAGUUCUCUCCAGCAUCAUGACUUUUUAUCUGCUCAGCCUUCCUUGAAGGUCGAGGUCACUCUGAACUGGGUCUGGACUUACUUUAGGUGAACUUUCACUUGUUCAUUCAACCUGGCUGCUGAUCAGUACUUUUUUGAAAUGGAACAUAGAAUAAACUAACUACUACUAUCAAAUUUGCUUCCCCUUCACUACUAUGAUAUUGAGAAAAUUCCAAGGAUGAAUAUAUAUAUAUAUAUAUAUAUAUAUAUAUAUAUAUAUAUAUUCCUCAAAGAAAAGACUGGAGAGAUGGUUUGCUUACCCCACAACUACAAGGAUCACACACAUGUAAGACACAUAUGCCUUCAAACCCAUGUAAAAGCUGUGAGUUGUUACUAUAACUCUAGGACUUCGAGGACAGAGCCAGGAGGCUCAUUGGGGCCCAUUGCCUAGCCAUCCUAGCAGAAGAGAUGAGCUCCAAGUCUACCCAGAGGCUUGUCUCAGCAUCAGCCUCUGGCCUCUGUACACACACGUGUGUACACCUGUGUAUACACAGCUGUGUAUACACCCAUACUCACAUAUUUCACACACCCACGUAUUCCCCACAUGCAUACAAAAGAUAACAGAAGCGACUAAGAAAUGUGUUUAUCAAAGAGUUUAGUAAUGAGAUUUUUGUGUGUGUGUCUUGUUUUUGAAAUCGGUUUAAUUCACCACGGAAGCAGAAAUAAAGGAAAAACAAAAACGGAGAUACAGAGUUUCUAUUGCUGUGAUAAAAUACCAGGACCAAAAUCCUCUUCAGAAAGGGGUUUAUUUCAUCUUACAGCUUGUAGUUCGCCACCCAGGGAGGUUGAGGCAGGAACUGAUGCAGAGGCUUUGCUCCUCAUGGCUUGGUCAACCUGCUUGCUUUACCAUCCAGGACCGCCCACCCAUGGGCCCACCUGCAACGAUCAUUAGUCAAGGAAGUGCCCUGCAGGCUUGCUCACGGGUUUGCUCACGGGCUACUCUGGCAGAGCAUCUUCUUAAUUGAGGUUCCCUCCUUCCAGCGACUCCAGCCUUGUGUCAAGGUGGCAUAAAAACUCAGCACUACAAAUGUAGGAUCUGCUGGGUAAGGGCACACUGGGCUGCUCUUCUCUCUUCUAGGAUUUCCUGGAACCCUGUAGACUCUUAUUCACCGUUCACAUAUUCAUAUACAAAAAUAUACCAUCUAUAAAUAGCCAUCUGCCUUUUCAGUGAAAUUAAAGAUGGGAGAGUGAGAUUUUUCUGAGUGUAAUUACAGGCCUCAAACCUACAGCUGUUAUGUUACUCUAGUCCUACCAAGAGAAUCUCCAAUGUCACUAUUUCAUCUUAAGUACACUUGAAAAAAUAAUCCUAAGAUGUGAACAGGACGCUUUUUUUUUUUCCUUCCCAAGAGUUCUCACAAACCCAGCGACCAAGAUUAGGUGUUACACUGCACUGUUGUUUGCAUAAAGUGCAGAAAAAUGUUCAGUGUUUCUGUUCCUUAUCUGGGGAUUUACAAACUCCUGCCAAUGUUUUUCUUAAACUCUAUAUAUGCCCUUUUGCAAACGCUCUCCCUCUAUGGAGUUUCUGCUAAAAUGCAAUUUCUUAAGAAAACCUGUGGGGUUUCUAAAAUUCUUAGGUAAUGGCUGACCUCACAGGGCAUACUAGUUGGAACAGAAAGAAGUGAGAGGUUCUUGCUAACAAGAGCAGGUAGGGAUUUCUUUACAUGUCACGUUUGUGUUUUUUCCCUUGUUAAAGACCAAGCCUCUUCCAUCAUGGGGAGCUGUGAACUGCAAGGUGGGGAUCCUUCUUAGGAGCAGCCAAGAGGAUUCCCUCAGAAAGGUCUAAGUGCCUUCCUCAGUUGUUUACAAAAAGGA
ensembl:lincRNA Gm26813 predicted gene, 26813